AUUCAAUCUCAACAGGGAAAUGAGACUUGAGCUCCAGGGAUGGACAGUUGACAGCCUUGAAGAGAGUCGGAUGAGGGGAAGCUGCUGUCAGGGAAGGGAUGUGCAUCUCAGUACACCAAGGUGAAAUCUUGGGAAAAUACCUUGGAAGCAAGCAAUGCCACCAUCUGAACAUGUUUGUAGUGCUUCCACUAUUCUAAUAUGCGAAAUGUAUAUGUGAAGGCUGUGGGAGGUUCAGUUGAUGUUCUUCUGUUUGAUUAGUGCUUGAAGAAGGAACGGAGAGAAGAAAGCUUUUGCAGCUUUUGCAUUGUCUUUCAGUUAGUGAACAGAACCAAAUUGAGUGACAGUUCUUGAUCUUCGGUUUUCAGAGUGGAAGGCUAAUGGAUUUUUUUCAGAAGAUUCAGACUGGCUGCGAGUAAAUCACAGCAAGCUGAGAGGACAAAGAAUUGGCUAAUGUCUUCUCCACUAUGUAGGUAAUUAAAAGUGCAACGUAUUGGCUUUGUUUAACAUAAGCUACCCAAAUGUAACUACUUAUACAUUUCCUUGGUAAUUUCGAUGUAAGAAUCAGAGUAUAUAUGUUUUUGUAGCGUAAUGUUUUACUUCUCCA